GCAGGUCGGAGCUGGGGGCUCCGAGCGCCCGUGGGCGGGGCGCAGGGCGCGGAUCGGAAGUGCCACGCGGAGCCCGAGCUGGGACUUCGGGCUCCCUGGGCGAGUGUCCCCUCAGACUCAUGGGCUCCCCGGGAGUGAUGGCCCUUACUUUCCUAGGCUCCUCCGCCCCACCACCCUUUACUUGACUGCAGGGCCCAGUUUCCAGAGCUCCUGGGCUGAUGGGAUGUCCCCACUGCCUUCGGAUGGCGAGAUGGGCCAUCCCAGAGGAACUUGCAGUGCUCUCCCUGGACUCCACCCCAUACUUCCUGCCUUAGACUUGCCCUCCGACACUUGUCCAACACUCCUCCCGUCCAAAGCCCUGGCAGGAGAUGGGGAGGUGCAAACAGCUUGCACUGCACACAGUCGGCAACCACCUGGAGGACGUGACAGGUGCAAGAGAAAGCCUGACAACCAGGAGAGACAGGGACGGAGAAGAGAGCACCAGAUGUGGAUGCGGGAGGAGGGUCACCCGUGAGCGCCCCCUGAGGAGGAAGACAGCCCCAACCACCGGCACAUUCUCCUUUGAGCACAGACAAAACCCUAGAGACUGGAGCUGGAGGUGCCCUGAGACAGUCUCCAAGCCAGUGCCCCAACCCCAUUUUACAGGUUCUGUCUAGAGAGGGAGGGAGCUCGCCUCUGGUCACACAGCUAGUUUAGAGUGAGACUAAACCCCUGGCUUCAGAACCCAGGUACCUGCUGUCUCACCUGCAGGAGCACAGCCUCUCUCCCAGGCACCAGCUCUUUCCCUCCCCUGCUCCACCUUCCAAGAGGAGGAAGAGGGGGUUUGAGGUUGAGACAGCAAAAUCUCCCCACCUCAGGGGGAGUCACAGACGCCCCUAAGGAAGUAAGAGUCUCAGCCUGAGACAGGUCUCUGCAGCAAGAAGCCAGGAGGUCCCUGGCAGGAUGUGGAUGGGGGAGACAACACAGUAGUGGUAUAGGUUUGUCACAGCUUGGGGGCCCAGCAGGUGGCUGUCAUUUGUUGAGUGCCAGCUGCUGUGCUUUACAUGUUACCCUGAAACACACACAGAGCGGCCCUUUCUUGUAUCUCCUGGUGUGACCAGUGACCCUCUGGGCUCUGACGUACUCAGGCGAGGAGAAAGGGAUUCCCCCCUAGCUCAGUGACAGCCACACCAUCCACCCAGUUAGGAAGCCAGACAGCCAGGCCACCCUAGUCACCAGCUCACCUCCAAGCCCUAUGUGCUCAACUCCAAAGGACCCCCAAAUACAGCUACUUCCAUCUCAAAUGCGUCCCCUGCCCCACCAGGUCACCAGCGUCCCUUCAAUGGCCACUGCCAUAAGUUUGUCCUAACAGAUCCUCCUCCGAGCUCUGGCCCCUGACACCUCUUCUCCAACUGCAUCCGAGGACAUAUUUGAAUCACACCUUAGAUCAUGUAUCUGCCUUUGCUAUAAAACCUCCAAAGGCUCUGUUACUCUUGGGAUAAAGACCAGACUCCCUAACACAGCCUAUGAGGCUCUGCACAGGGUGGUCCUGCUGUCCUUCCUGCCUCCGUGUCCCCCCCUCACAGCCCUCCAGGCUAGCUCCUUGUAUGCACCAUGCUCAUCUUGCCUCAGGGCCUUUGCACAGGCUGUCCACUCUGCCCUGAAUGCUCUAUCCUGCCUCUUUGCCCAGUCAGUCCCUGCUCACCCUUUGGACAGCCUUCUAGUCGUCACUACCUGAAGCCUGUCCGGCCCGCCCAACCAGGGACACCAUCUCUGUCCAUCUCCUUCACAGUACUUCUCACUGUUGAGUUUCACCUGAUUUUGUGUGAUUCACAGAUUAACAUCUGCUUCCCCCCCUGGACCACAAGUUCCACAGGGAGCAGGAACCUUGUCUGUAUUUUUUUCCAAAUUGUAUCCCCAGUGCCUGUCCUGUGUUUGGCACCUAGUGGGCCCUCAAUGAAUAUUAGUUAAAUUAAUAAUCAAAUGAAUGGAAGCUGGAGAAGGAAAAGUUCAUGGAAAACUUGGGGAGUUAACCAUUUAUAAAAACCGCCUAGCAUAGGUAAAUCUAUAGAGAUACUAAUUAGGUUACUGGCUGCCGCGGCUUGGGGAAGAAAGGAAUAGGGAGUGAGUGCUAAUGGCUGUGGGGCUUCGAUCUAAAUUCAGAUAGCAGUGAUGCCUACAUAUAUUUAGUAUAUAUGUGACUAUACUAAAAACACUGAAUUGUACACUUUGGAAGAAUGAAUUUUAUGGUAUGUGAAUUACAUCUCAAUA